rnacentral:misc_RNA from 1 species
GAUGAAGAACGUAGCGAAAUGCGAUAAGUAAUGUGAAUUGCAGAAUUCAGUGAAUCAUCGAAUCUUUGAACGCACAUUGCGCCCGCCAGUAUUCUGGCGGGCAUGCCUGUUCGAGCGUCAUUACAACCCUCAGGCCCCCGGGCCUGGCGUUGGGGAUCGGCGGAGCCCCCCGUGGGCACACGCCGUCCCCCAAAUGCAGUGGCGGUCCCGCCGCAGCUUCCAUCGCGUAGUAGCUAACACCUCGCGACUGGAGAGCGGCGCGGCCACGCCGUAAAACACCCAACUCUUCUGAAGUUAACCUCGAAUCAGGUAGGAAUACCCGCUGAACUUAAGCAUAUCAAUAAGCGGAGGA